rnacentral:rRNA from 1 species
UACAGAGGGGGCAAGCGUUAUUCGGAAUUAUUGGGCGUAAAGGGUGCGUAGGCGGCGCGGUAAGUCGGGUGUGAAAUCUCGGAGCUUAACUCCGAAACUGCAUUCGAUACUGCCGUGCUUGAGGACUGGAGAGGAGACUGGAAUUUACGGUGUAGCGGUGAAAUGCGUAGAUAUCGUAAGGAAGACCAGUGGCGAAGGCGGGUCUCUGGACAGUUCCUGACGCUGAGGCACGAAGGUCAGGGGAGCAAACGGG